rnacentral:rRNA from 1 species
AGUCGAGCGCACUCUUUCGAGAGUGAGCGGCAAACGGGUGAGUAACGCGUGGGAAUCUACCCCUCUCUACGGAAUAACACAGAGAAAUUUGUGCUAAUACCGUAUACGUCCCUUUGGGAGAAAGAUUUAUCGGAGAUGGAUGAGCCCGCGUUGGAUUAGCUAGUUGGUGAGGUAACGGCUCACCAAGGCGACGAUCCAUAGCUGGUCUGAGAGGAUGAUCAGCCACACUGGGACUGAGACACGGCCCAGACUCCUACGGGAGGCAGCAGUGGGGAAUAUUGGACAAUGGGGGCAACCCUGAUCCAGCCAUGCCGCGUGAGUGAUGAAGGCCCUAGGGUUGUAAAGCUCUUUCACCG